UACAGAGGUCUCAAGCGUUGUUCGGAUUCAUUGGGCGUAAAGGGUGUGUAGGUGGCGCCGCAAGUCGGGUGUGAAAUUUCGGAGCUUAACUCCGAAACUGCAUUCGAUACUGCGGUGCUUGAGGACUGGAGAGGAGACUGGAAUUCAUGGUGUAGCAGUGAAAUGCGUAGAUAUCGAGAGGAACACCAGUGGCGAAGGCGAGUCCCUGGACAACACCUGACACUGAGGCACGAAAGCUAGGGGAGCAAACAGG
rnacentral:rRNA from 1 species